UGUUGCUGCUCCUCUCCUUUGUGCUGGAAUCACAGUGUAUAGCCCUUUGAAAUAUUAUGGACUUGAUAAGCCUGGACUUCAUAUUGGUGUGGUUGGUCUUGGUGGACUUGGUCACAUGGCUGUCAAGUUUGCCAAAGCUCUUGGACUUAAGGUCACAGUAAUUAGUACCUCUCCCAACAAAAAGAAGGAAGCCAUUGAACACAUGGGAGCUGAUGCAUUUGUUGUUAGCCGUGAACAAGAUGAGAUGAUGGCUGUCAUG
rnacentral:sRNA from 1 species